GCUGGUAUUGAUGGAUGAUAUAGGUCUCACUCUGCUGGUAUUGAUGGAUGGCAUAGGUCUCACACUCUGCUGGUAUUGAUGGAUGGUAUUGGUCUCACACUCUGCUGGUAUUGAUGGAUGGUAUAGGUCUCACACUCUGCUGGUAUUGAUGGAUGGUACAGGUCUCACUCUGCUGGUAUUGAUGGAUGGUAUAGGUCUCACUCUGCUGGUAUUGAUGGAUGGUAUAGGUCUCACACUCUGCUGGUAUUGAUGGAUGGUAUAGGUCUCACACUCUGCUGGUAUUGAUGGUUGGUAUAGGUCUCACUCUGCUGGUAUUGAUGGAUGGUAUAGGUCUCACUCUGCUGGUAUUGAUGGAUGGUAUAGGUCUCACUCUGCUGGUAUUGAUGGAUGGUAUAGGUCUCACUCUGCUGGUAUUGAUGGCUGGUAUAGGUCUCACUCUGCUGGUAUUGAUGGAUGGUAUAGGUCUCACUCUGCUGGUAUUGAUGGAUGGUACAGGUCUCACUCUGCUGGUAUUGAUGACUGGUAUAGGUCUCACUCUGCUGGUAUUGAUGGAUGGUAUAGGUCUCACACUCUGCUGGUAUUGAUGGCUGGUAUAGGUCUCACACUCUGCUGGUAUUGAUGGAUGGUAUAGGUCUCACACUCUGCUGGUAUUGAUGGAUGGUAUAGGUCUCACUCUGCUGGUAUUGAUGGAUGGUAUAGGUCUCACACUCUGCUGGUAUUGAUGGAUGGUAUAGGUCUCACACUCUGC
rnacentral:lncRNA from 1 species